CUAUCUUGAGGCAAUAUAGAGAACCACAGUUGAUCUUUAUUAAACCAAGCGUUGCAACCGACCUCUGCUUCCACCGACUUCAACCUUCGUCUCAUCGACUGUAUCUCUUUCUCUUCUACUGUUACACCCAAAUCGCCGAUCCCAAUCGUGCCACCAUCUUUCUACAGCCGUAUAAGCGAGAUUGAGAGAGUUCGGUUCGUUGCUUUUGAUCUGUGGAUUUGGAAUUAUUUUCUUUGUUUCUGGUCAUUAUCUCCUCUAAUUUCAGACUGAUCUGACGAAUCUCGGUGAUUGGUUUUUGUUUUGAAGAAGGUGAAAACUAAUCUGGCCAAUUCGGAUUUGAGAUUCGAUAUGUGGAUAUAAGGGCUAUCCUCAGAAAAUCAAGUUUGACAUCAUCAGGGAGAGUUAUGUACUGGAAACAAGGGUUCCUACUUGCCCAUCUUUCUUGCUUUCUUUGAUGUUUAUUACAAUCAUAAAGAAGCUAGCUUUGUAAUUCAUAUGUGACUUAGAUUGCUGCUUUGUUUGGCCAUUUGAGUUAUUCCAAAGAACACUUCUUAUGGUUUAUUGUUUGGAUUUGGUUUCUUUCUAUGGGCUGGGAACAAAUAGGAGGCGUUUGAUUGUUAGAGCUUUGAAUUUUUGAUGUAAUGUUUUCCAUUUUGAUUGUAGGUCGUUGAAAUAGCAAAAAGAAGGGGAGGGAUCAAAGAUUGUGGUCGACUUCCGGAGGAAGUGUGUGCUUAAUCUAGAAGAUGUACAUAUUGAAGGAGCGGGGAUUUGCUUAAGAAUCAUAAGUAGCUGUGUCUUUGUUCAGGGGAAAAAAAAAAAAAAAACUCCAGAAGGCUCCGUCCCAAUCUGGAGCUGCUCUCAACCGAUAUCAAUCUUCCCAAUCUAUAUAAGCACCAAACGACGGCCUACUCCAUUCCAGAAAGCUCCGUCCCAAUCUGAAACUGCUCUCAGCCGACAGCAACCUCCCGACUCUCAACCGACAUCCGAAGAGCUUCUUUGCUCCACAGAGAUAGAGAGAAAGAGAGAUGGGAAGAUAUCUCCGCCCUUAUUCGAAGAAUCUGGUGCUUCACCUUGGUGGAUACGACAGUGUCAAGAUUGAUUCAUGCUUAAUCCGUUUUCUUUAUGGGUUGUUAAUAAUGCGAUUGUUGGUUUAAAUAAAUUGCAUGUUCUUCUCUGGCAAGGAUUGAGGUUGGCUACCUGCAUCCAGGACAGUGGUGUCAAAGAAAUCAAGCCCAAGAGGAGUACAAUCAUGGGUAAAACUAAGAAAGGUUAUCAAGGAUGAAGUCGUUGGGGGUGGAGAUUAGUCCUGAUGAGAUAGCCCAUAGGUGGAUGAGAAAGUCUUCAUUUUCUUUUGAUGAACUGUAAUUGGAAAGGAGAAUUCACAGAUUGGAAUCAGCAGUUGAGACAAGUGCAAAGUUGCUGAAGGGAGAGGGGUUUGGGCUUGGUUUUUGUGGAGAAUUCACAGAUUGGAAUGAGCAGUUGAGACAAGUGCAAAGAUGCGGAAGGGUGAGAGGUUUGGGCUUUGUUUUUGCGGUAAUAAAAUCAUUUUCUAGACUAUUGUUCUCAUGAAUCGAGCGAAGAACCAAUCCAUCAACAAUAGUAAAUCCCGCAGCAAAGCGCGGGAAAUCUUGCUAGUUUGAUAAAAUACGGGCUUUUAAAAGGUUUUUGCAGGUUUGAAGAUUUUGUUUGACUUGAAGAAGGUUGGUCGUCUGCUAAUCUUUGUUUUAAGAUUCCACCAUAUCCGAUGUCGGACGCAUCUGUUUCGACAAUCUUAAAGGACUCUGGGUCUCGUAGCCCUAGACAUGGUUGGUUUGAGUCAGUUCUAAGCAUGACUUUUGAGACGAGAAAUCAGUAACAUCCUCGUAGCAGGAUUUACUGGCCAAUUGAAAGGAUGGUGGGAUAAUUAUCUCACAUCUGAUCAACGCAAUCAAAUUUUAAGCAGUGUCAAAAUAGAACAAACAACUGGUGCAAUGAUUGUUGACCAGCAAAAUCUGCCUGUAACACAUUCAAGAACCUUUUUGCACCUAUCUAGUCUUUUCUUAAUCAUUGAAAUAA